GACGAACGCUGGCGGCGCGCCUAACACAUGCAAGUCGAACGAGAGAUGAAGAGCUUGCUCUUCAAAUCGAGUGGCGAACGGGUGAGUAACGCGUGAGGAACCUGCCUCAAAGAGGGGGACAACAGUCGGAAACGACUGCUAAUACCGCAUAAGCGCACAGUGCCGCAUGGCACGGUGUGAAAAACUCCGGUGGUCUGGGAUGGACCCGCGUCCGAUUAGUUAGUUGGCGGGGUAACGGCCCACCAAGACCGCGAUCGGUAGCCGACCUGAGAGGGUGACCGGCCACAUUGGGACUGAGACACGGCCCAGACUCCUACGGGAGGCAGCAGUGGGGAAUAUUGCACAAUGGAGGAAACUCUGAUGCAGCGACGCCGCGUGAGCGAAGAAGUAUUUCGGUAUGUAAAGCUCUGUCAGCAGGGAAGAUAAUGACGGUACCUGACCAAGAAGCCCCGGCUAACUACGUG
rnacentral:rRNA from 1 species